rnacentral:lncRNA from 1 species
CGUGAUUGGAAUCUGUGACACCGGUGCUAGCAGCCUGCAGCACUGACCUGCUUAAGAGGACACACUGGACAGGGAGGAUGGACAGUCCACUUCUGGCCACUGCUUGCAAGUGCAUAACUUAGGCUUACGUGGUCAACUUAAAAUGAGCAUCAGAGAGAGAGUCUCUCCAAAGGGAAGAGUGUGACAGAGUUUUGCAGUCAGGAGAUAGGUGCCAUGGAGAACGGUGGGAGGGGUGGCCCCAGGGGGCCAAAUGGGCAUAAGGAUUUCAAAGACCAAAUGAGGAAGGUUACAGAAAUUACCUGGUAGUCAGGGUUCUGUACAAGAAGAGAAUUUAUAGAAUGAGGAUAUACCAAAGAGAGUUUAUCAGGUUGGCUUACAUGAUAUGGUUGGAUAUUCCAACAGUGGCUGCCCUACACUAGUCAGGCUGACAACCUGGUGGUUGCUCCAUCCACAGGACUGGAUGCGUCAUCACUAUCACCAUCAUCAACACCACCACCACCACCACCAGCAGCAGCAACAAAGAUAAACUCACUUGUUAGAGUGAAGACUAACAGGAUUACCAGAAGGAGCCACCUACUCAGUGCAGUGAACAAGACGUGUGGUCUGAAGAUACACAACACCGAGACAGGACUGUGUGGUGCUCACAUGCCACGAGCAGAGUUCAAACAGCAUCCAAGCCCUGAA